GGUUAAGUUACAAAGGGCGCACGGUGGAUGCCUUGGCACUAGGAGCCGAUGAAGGACGGAACUAAUACCGAUAUGCUUCGGGGAGCUAUAAGUAAGCUUUGAUCCGGAGAUUUCCGAAUGGGGGAACCCAGUACACAUCAGUGUAUUGCCUGCAAGUGAAUACAUAGCUUGUUGGCGGCAGACGCGGGGAACUGAAACAUCUCAGUACCCGCAGGAAGAGAAAGAAAACUCGAUUCCCAUAGUAGCGGCGAGCGAAGUGGGAAGAGCCCAAACCGAGAAGCUUGCUUCUCGGGGUUGUAGGACUGGACAUUGGAGUUACCAAAGUUCGACGUAGUCGAAGUCAGCUGGAAAGCUGCGCCAUAGAAGGUGAAAGCCCUGUAAACGAAACGGCGGACUCUCCGUCCAGGAUCCUGAGUACGGCGGAACACGUGAAAUUCCGUCGGAAUCCGGGAGGACCAUCUCCCAAGGCUAAAUACUCCCUAGUGACCGAUAGUGAACCAGUACCGUGAGGGAAAGGUGAAAAGCACCCCGGAAGGGGAGUGAAACAGUUCCUGAAACCGUGUGCCUACAAUUAGUCAAAGCCCGUUAACGGGUAAUGGCGUGCCUUUUGUAGAAUGAACCGGCGAGUUACGUUUGCCUGCGAGGUUAAG
rnacentral:rRNA from 1 species